GACGAACGCUGGCGGCGUGCUUAACACAUGCAAGUCGAACGGAAAGGCCUGCAGCUUGCUGCGGGUACUCGAGGGGCGAACGGGUGAGUAACACGUGGGUGAUCUGCCUUGCACUUCGGGAUAAGGUUGGGAAACUGGGUCUAAUACCGGAUAGGACAGCUGUUGAGUGUCAGUUGUGGAAAGUUUGUUCGGUGCAAGAUGAGCUCGCGGCCUAUCAGCUUGUUGGUGGGGUAAUGGCCUACCAAGGCGUCGACGGGUAGCCGGCCUGAGAGGGUGGACGGCCACAUUGGGCCUGCGAUACGGCCCAGACUCCUACGGGAGGCAGCAGUGGGGAAUAUUGCACAAUGGGCGGAAGCCUGAUGCAGCGACGCCGCGUGGGGGAUGAAGGCCUUCGGGUUGUAAACUCCUUUCGACAGGGACGAAGCUUUUGUGACGGUACCUGUAUAAGAAGCACCGGCUAACUACGUG
rnacentral:rRNA from 1 species